rnacentral:sRNA from 1 species
CGCACGCGGGCUCGCGGCGGCGGCGCAAAUUCGUCGUCUUGUCGCUCCGGUGUUCCUGUUGGAGGAACUCUCGUCCGCGGAGGCUUAACCGGAAAAGGAACAGUA